rnacentral:rRNA from 1 species
GAUGAACGCUGGCGGCGUGCCUAAUACAUGCAAGUCGAGCGAACGGACGAGAGGCUUGCUUCUCUGAUGUUAGCGGCGGACGGGUGAGUAACACGUGGAUAACCUACCUAUAAGUCUGGGAUAACUUCGGGAAACCGGAGCUAAUACCGGAUAAUAUUUUGAACCGCAUGGUUCAAAAGUGAAAGACGGUCUUGCUGUCACUUAUAGAUGGAUCCGCGCUGCAUUAGCUAGUUGGUAAGGUAACGGCUUACCAAGGCAACGAUGCAUAGCCGACCUGAGAGAGGGAUAGGCCACACGGGAACGGAGACAGCGUCCUGACUCCUACGGGAGGCAGCAGUAGGGAAUCUUCCGCAAUGGGCGAAAGCCUGACGGAGCAACGCCGCGUGAGUGAUGAAGGUCUUCGGAUCGUAAAACUCUGUUAUUAGGGAAGAACAUAUGUGUAAGUAACUGUGCACAGCUUGACGGUACCUAAUCAGAAAGCCACGGCUAACUACGUG